rfam:Staphylococcus microti strain DSM 22147 contig_130, whole genome shotgun sequence.
CAUCAGCGACAGAAAUGCCGUAGUAACAACGAAUGAUGAGAAGUCAGCAGAGGUCAUAGUAGGUAGAAAUACUGAAGGAC